rnacentral:rRNA from 1 species
UGUUCCUACGGGGCGCAGCAGUGGGGAAUAUUGCACAAUGGGGGAAACCCUGAUGCAGCGACGCCGCGUGAGUGAAGAAGUAUUUCGGUAUGUAAAGCUCUAUCAGCAGGGAAGAAAAUGACGGUACCUGACUAAGAAGCCCCGGCUAACUACGUGCCAGCAGCCGCGGUAAUACGUAGGGGGCAAGCGUUAUCCGGAUUUACUGGGUGUAAAGGGAGCGUAGACGGCAUGGCAAGUCAGAUGUGAAAGCCCGGGGCUCAACCCCGGGACGGCAUUUGAAACUGUCAGGCU